UGUAAAUAAAAAUUUAAAGUUGAACAUACGAGUAUAAAUAUUGGUAGGGUUUAGCUAUUCCUUUCAUCCAAAAGAUCUACCAACAUAUAGAUCCUAAUUCCUAAAUAUGCCUUUUUAUUAUUUUUUAUUUUUUAAUGAGUCAACAACAUUAUAAAAAAGUGGUCUAAAUAUUGUACUACAUUUGUCUCUAGAUUUUUAGAUCUUGAUGGAUGUCCAUCAAUAUGUGUAGAAAUGUUU